ensembl:lncRNA
GGAUAAGGGAAAGGGGAGGCAAGAGGAGGAGAGACCCGAGGCGGCCGCCGGUCAUAGUGGCAGAGGAACUGAACUUCAGCUCUUCAUAUUCAAUUCCUGCAGUGAAGACUGUUGAGGUGGAUAAUCCCACUGCACGGGUCAUUGCGCCUGACUCACAGAGAAAAAAAAGAUGGAAUACAACACGACAGCCACAUCUAAAACGGCUUUGGCCUCAAACCUCGUGCUCAGAAAGAUUUCACCCCUCAUGCUGGCUGACAGUGAUUCGAAGAAAUAAGACUUGACUGGGCUUGGGCCGUGUGCGAGAGACUGCAUGCUAAAUUUAGGGGAAAUGCGGCCAUUAGGAGAUGCACCCUGAAGGGACGGGAGAGGCUGUGUCAUUUUUGUUUCAUGGUUGCUUAUGAGGUUACACCAUCAGUGAGGCCAUGAAUAAUCACCCUGGGAUGA